rnacentral:lncRNA from 1 species
UGAGAGAGACAUGAAUAAGUGAUUCAGUUUGAUAUUGAUCCAUACUCAUGCACUUAUUCAGGAUGUAGUAUGACUGAGGGAUUGAAUUGCACGGUAACUUGCCACUGAAGGGUAUGUUUGGAUUUGUCCAGUACAUUCCUCAUCUUCCGGGUAGACAUGAUACGUUGCUAGACGUCAAUCACGUCUUGUGGGUUGAUCGGAUCA